AUCUCCAUGGCUCAGGCGGUAGAGCACCCGGUUUUCGUGCCGGAGGUCGCUGGUUCGAGUCCCGCUGUUGUCU
rnacentral:tRNA from 1 species